rnacentral:rRNA from 1 species
GAACGCUGGCGGCAUGCCUUACACAUGCAAGUCGAACGGCAGCACGGGAGCAAUCCUGGUGGCGAGUGGCGAACGGGUGAGUAAUAUAUCGGAACGUGCCCAGUCGUGGGGGAUAACGCAGCGAAAGCUGUGCUAAUACCGCAUACGAUCUAUGGAUGAAAGCGGGGGAUCGCAAGACCUCGCGCGAUUGGAGCGGCCGAUAUCAGAUUAGCUAGUUGGUGGGGUAAAAGCUCACCAAGGCGACGAUCUGUAGCUGGUCUGAGAGGACGACCAGCCACACUGGAGCUGAGACACGGUCCAGACUCCUACGGGAGGCAGCAGUGGGGAAUUUUGGACAAUGGGCGAAAGCCUGAUCCAGCCAUGCCGCGUGCAGGAUGAAGGCCUUCGGGUUGUAAACUGCUUUUGUACGGAACGAAAAGGCUCUGGUUAAUACCUGGGGCUCAUGACGGUACCGUAAGAAUAAGCACCGGCUAACUACGUG